CGGCUUUGGCUGACAUGAUAGUUAAUGGAAGCUGGCGUGUGUGUUAAGAAAAGAUGUUAAGAAGUCAGCGUUUAAGAAAUAAUUCUUUGCCCAGUCAUGUUAGGGGGAGAGAGCAAGGAACUACUGUGACCCAGACGUGCAGGUCGUCGGCGAGACACACUUCAACCGACUGAGCAGAUCAACUCUAGAUCCAGUCGCCAUCUCGUAGCGACAAAGCGAGCUCUUCCAGCCUCUCACUCGUGGGUAGCCUUGAUUCCUGACUAAAAUCUUCCUGAAGAACUCAAAGCCUUCAAAAUGAAGCUGACUCUUCUCUUGCUUCUUGUAGCGGUCUGCGUGGCCGUUGUGUUGGUGAGUAAAUCGCCGAAAACAAUUUGAAAGUUCUUUUAAACACAAUGGAUGAGGGAUAACUACUUUCCAUAUUUAACUACAAUGAAGCUAGCAGAUUUUAAGUCUAUAUAUCAAAUGUUGCACGAGAGAACUAAUCUGAAA